rnacentral:rRNA from 2 species
UACGAAGGGGGCUAGCGUUGUUCGGAAUUACUGGGCGUAAAGCGUGCGCAGGCGGUCUCUCAAGUCAGGGGUGAAAGCCCAGAGCUCAACUCUGGAACUGCCCUUGAAACUGUGAGGCUCGAGUGCGGGAGAGGUGAGUGGAAUUCCCAGUGUAGAGGUGAAAUUCGUAGAUAUUGGGAAGAACACCGGUGGCGAAGGCGGCUCACUGGCCCGUUUCUGACGCUCAUGCACGAUAGCGUGGGGAUCAAACAGG